rnacentral:rRNA from 1 species
UUUCCCUUCGGGGACAAAGUGACAGGUGGUGCAUGGUUGUCGUCAGCUCGUGUCGUGAGAUGUUGGGUUAAGUCCCGCAACGAGCGCAACCCUUGAUUUUAGUUGCCAGCAUUUAGUUGGGCACUCUAAAGUGACUGCCGGUGCAAGCCGGAGGAAGGUGGGGAUGACGUCAAAUCAUCAUGCCCCUUAUGACCUGGGCUACACACGUGCUACAAUGGAUAGUACAAAGGGUCGCGAAGCCGCGAGGUGGAGCUAAUCCCAUAAAACUAUUCUCAGUUCGGAUUGUAGGCUGCAACUCGCCUACAUGAAGCCGGAAUCGCUAGUAAUCGUGGAUCAGCAUGCCACGGUGAAUACGUUCCCGGGCCUUGUACACACCGCCCGUCACACCACGAGAGUUUGUAACACCCGAAGUCGGUAGGGUAACCUUUAUGGAGCCAGCCGCCGAAGGUGGGACAGAUAAUUGGGGUGAAGUCGUAACAAGGUAGCCGUAUCGGAAGGUGCGGCUGGAUCACCUCCUUUCUAAGGAA